rnacentral:pre_miRNA from 1 species
UGUGCAGACUGUACACACUACAGCGCUACGCGUGUAGCUUGAACAGUCUGGACGCU